ACUCCUACGGGAGGCAGCAGUGGGGAAUUUUCCGCAAUGGGCGAAAGCCUGACGGAGCAAUACCGCGUGCGGGACGAAGGCUUUUGGGUCGUAAACCGCUUUUGUUAGGGAAGAAGAACUGACGGUACCUAACGAAUCAGCAUCGGCUAACUCCGUGCCAGCAGCCGCGGUAAUACGGGGGAUGCAAGCGUUAUCCGGAAUUAUUGGGCGUAAAGCGUCCGCAGGUGGUUUAUCAAGUCUGCUGUCAAAGCGUGGGGCUUAACCCCAUAAAGGCAGUGGAAACUGAGAGACUAGAGUACGGUAGGGGUAGCGGGAAUUCCCAGUGUAGCGGUGAAAUGCGUAGGUAUUGGGAAGAACACCAGCGGCGAAGGCGCGCUACUGGGCCGAAACUGACACUCAUGGACGAAAGCUAGGGGAGCGAAAGGGAUUAGAUACCCCUGUAGUCCUAGCUGUAAACGAUGACAACUAGGUGUUGCGCGUAUCGACCCGUGCAGUGCCGUAGCUAACGCGUUAAGUUGUCCGCCUGGGGAGUACGC
rnacentral:rRNA from 1 species